GACGAACGCUGGCGGCGUGCUUAACACAUGCAAGUCGAACGAUGAACCCGGAGCUUGCUCCGGUGGAUUAGUGGCGAACGGGUGAGUAACACGUGAGUAACCUGCCCUUGACUCUGGGAUAACUGCGGGAAACUGUAGCUAAUACCGGAUACGACCCUCGGCGGCAUCGCCAGUGGGUGGAAAGAAUUUCGGUCAAGGAUGGACUCGCGGCCUAUCAGCUAGUUGGUGAGGUAACGGCUCGCCAAGGCGACGACGGGUAGCCGGCCUGAGAGGGUGACCGGCCACACUGGGACUGAGACACGGCCCAGACUCCUACGGGAGGCAGCAGUGGGGAAUAUUGCACAAUGGGCGCAAGCCUGAUGCAGCAACGCCGCGUGAGGGAUGACGGCCUUCGGGUUGUAAACCUCUUUUAGUAGGGAAGAAGCGAAAGUGACGGUACCUGCAGAAAAAGCACCGGCUAACUACGUGCCAGCCGCCGCGGUAA
rnacentral:rRNA from 1 species